rnacentral:rRNA from 1 species
CCUACGGGUCACAGCAGUCGAGAAUCAUUCACAAUGGGGGAAACCCUGAUGGUGCGACGCCGCGUGGGGGAAUGAAGGUCUUCGGAUUUUAAACUCCUGUCAUGUGGGAGCAAAUUAAAAAGAUAGUACCACAAGAGGAAGAGACGACUAACUCUGUGCCAGCAGCCUCGGUAAUACAGAGGUCUCAAGCGUUGUUCGGAAUCACUGGGCGUAAAGCGUGCGUAGGCUGUUUCGUAAGUCGUGUGUGAAAGGCGCGGGCUCAACCGGGGGACGGCAUAUGAUACUGCGAGACUAGAGUAAUGGAGGGGGAAGCGGAAUUCUCGGUGUAGUAGUGAAAUGCGUAGAUAUAGGGAGGAACACUAGUGGCGAAGGCGGGUUCCUGGACAUUAACUGACGCUGAGGCACGAAGGCCAGGGGAGCGAAAGGGAUUAGAUACCCCAGUAGUC